rnacentral:lncRNA from 1 species
AUGUUCUCUCUUGAGCUGAAAAACUGUUGCGUGGCAUGGCAUUCAUGUGUGUCUGAGAGAUUUUGGAGAAAGUUCUAUUUCUUGGUGUUUUGUUCUCUAUCUCACAAGGCUAACUAAUGCUCGAGGCCCUAACAGGUUUGUAAGCUUUUGAGGUGAUUCGUGUUUUGAGUUUGAGUUUCUUUCCCACCCCUCACUGAACCACUCUUUUCGUGAUAUUACACGUGCACUCCCUCAUUUGUUAUUCUUCGUACUCUCUCUGCUCCGUUUUAUACACAAUGGAGAUUUAGAGGAUUAAUUUUAUUUCUGGGUUGGGGGGUGGGAAGAGAUGAGUUGGAGUCUCUACCUGCCAAAAGUUGAAGAAAACAAUCGCUUUGAUGCAGAUGAACUUUGAAAGUGGUUUGUGUGGCUGCAGUUCCUUUGAGAAAACAACCAAGGAGUACAUGGCCACUGAGAAUGAGAUAUUGAGAAUCUGUAACGUGAUCAUCAAGAUAGAGCAUGCUUGAUGGAUGAUGACAAACUGC